rnacentral:tRNA from 1 species
GCAUUUUUAGCUUAAUAGGUUAAAGCAUUUGUCUUCGAAACAAAAGACUAUUGGUUCAAAUCCAAUAAGAUGUU